UACGUACUGGGCGAACGUUAUUCGGAAUCACUGGGCUUAAAGGGUGCGUAGGCGGCCAUUCAGGUCUGAUGUGAAAUCUUCCGGCUCAACCGGAAAAUGGCGUUGGAAACCGGAUGGCUUGAGUGUGCUAGGGGUGUGUGGAACUUCCUGUGGAGCGGUGAAAUGUGUUGAUAUGGGAAGGAACGCCGGUGGCGAAAGCGACACACUGGGGCAUAACUGACGCUGAGGCACGAAAGCUAGGGUAGCGAACGGG
rnacentral:misc_RNA from 1 species